UAGACUUGAGAGCGAACCUGGGUGAAGCGCCUGCAGCUGGUCUCCUGAGCCUUAGUUUACCUCGCCUGCCUGUAACGUUUAAUCGAAUAGAUUAGGGUUGCACGACCCGCCUGCCUCAUCGAUUUGUUUUAAAGAGCAUGAAAGGCUCAUUGCACAGAGACUAGCAGACAGGAAGUGCUGGUUCUGAUCCGUCUUCUGCCAAUCCACUGAAGGCUGACCAGAGCAAAUGGACAAUUUGCAUAUGAGCUCGAACAUACGUCUCCUUGUUUGUUGUUCUUUGACAGCGGGAGGACCUUUCCCUCUCAUUGGACCUGACAUACAGAAGGCUCUCGGUGAAGAUUUGCUGUUUUUGAAAUUCCAUGGAUACUGAGGUGCAGCAUGACUAGGAUGCUUACGACUGGCCAGCAGUGAGUGGAAAAUGGAGCCAACAAUGGGAGUCCUUUUAUGCCACAGAGUGCGGCAUAUUUUGUUCACAGCAGUGUCUUGGAAUUUGUGUCUACCUUGCAACCUGAUAGUCCUGAGAAUAUAUCUGCCGUAGUUGGGGAGAGAUUAAGAACCUCAUCCUAAGUCUCUCUUUGGGAGAAUAAAAAGAUUGUUAUUCAUUUACUUCUGUGGCAGCCAUUCAAGUGUUGAAGAAGGAGUAACUUGCUUCUGAUCUGUUUCCUGCCUUCAGACCAGACCCAAGGCUCUCGGACACGCAUGGCAGAGUUUGAUUCAAUGGAGUGUAAACCUGGGCAAGACGAGCGCAAAGAGAGACUGAGCUAGGAUUUCCGUGAAAACUAAACCGAAUGUUUUGGAAAGGCUUGAUAAAGAUGGAUCUGCUCUGAGACGACUUCUCAGGGAGCCUGAAUUUUACCAGUCCUGUGACUCAGCAGCAAGUUGCUUCAUCUCGCUGAGACGUAGCGUCUGUAUCCGUGAGAUGGAGAUGGGUUAUCCUGAGUGAGGCCGUCAGCCUCUGGGAGCCUCCAUUGAUGUGUGACAUGCAGAUACAAGUGCCUACCCUGCAAGAAUGAUGAAAGGAAUAGAAACAGUGAAAAGCAGGAUCUAAUCCUGGAUUAUAUUUAGAAGACUAGUAAAAAGUGAAAUUAUACAGAAUGCCAUAGAAAAUAUCAAGGUACAUUGCUCAGAUUAAGGAUAAGUACUUCUAUAUAAAACUUAUUUCCAUUACAUGCAUAAGUUGUAUUUUUAAUGAAGGUGAUAGUUAAAAAAGUAAUAAAAGAGACACAGUCUUAGAGAACACCAAAGCAUUAAGUAUUCUUGCCAUUUUGGAGAUGAAUAUUCUAGUGAAGGGCAAAACAAAAUACUUGAAUCCAACAAUGUGAAUACUAGGGUGAAGUCAGACAAUGCAAAUUAACACAGGACUGUAGAACUAAGAGGCAGAGGACAGAGCAAGGCAGAGAUCCUUUUAUUCUCUUCUUAUUGAUGUACCGAACAGCCUUGUCCUUUGGAUUAGAACAUAACUGGCCCUGUGCAUAUUGUUGAGUUGGAUGGAAUUUUUGGAUGAGGCAGCUGAAUGGGCUGCAUCAUAGGAACACACUACACACAGCACCUGAGCCUCGUACCGCGAUCCCCAGGCUCUUCCCAAGGCCCAGCUUUGUCUCUAGUGAAUUCAUUAAUGGUUAUGAAGGAAGUUGGUAAAAUGCAAUUGGUAUAUGCACUUUGAAUGAGUCACUUUCUCUUCUGGGCCUCAGUUUCCUCAUCUGUAAAAUGGGGACACAACUCUUGGCCUGGCUCCCUCCCAGGGCUAAUGAGAGAAUCAAGCGAGAAGGAGAGAAGUGUUUUGUAAAUUAUUAAGGGCUAUACAGAUCUGUAUAAAAAUCAGGAUUUCAGAUAGGAGUUUUCACUGGUAGUAUUCCUUGGACAGUCAGUAUUUUGAGAACAAGAAUAUAUUACUUAUCUUCAUAAGUAAUAAGCAUAUAUUACUUAUUUUCAUAACCCUAUUACCUUGCCCAGAGCAGGCCCUCUUGGCAGACUCACCUCUACGGAGACAUACGGACACCUUCCCCUCCAUGGACUUGCAGAGGUUCAUGCAGGUCUCAAAGGCAUCCCACCUCCGUCUUGUUCCUCCACUCAUCAGGGCAGAGUCAAGCUAGAUCAGCUCUUACUCAUCUAUAGAUUUGGUCUCAGCAUGAACCCUUCUCCCCUACCUACUGGAUAACCACCCAUUUCAGUUUUUAUUUGUAUUUCUAGGAAGUGACCCAAAU